AUUGAACGCUGGCGGCAGGCCUAACACAUGCAAGUCGAACGAGUGGCGGACGGGUGAGUAAUGUCUGGGAAACUGCCUGAUGGAGGGCGAUAACUACUGGAAACGGUUGCUGAUACCGCAUACCAUCGGAUGUGCCCAGAUGGGUUUAGCUAGUAGGUGGGGUAAAGGCUCACCUAGGCGACGAUCCCUAGCUGGUCUGAGAGGAUGAACAGCCACACUGGAAAGGAGACACGGUCCAGACUCCGACGGGAGGCAGCAGUGGGGAAUAGUGGACAAUGGGCGCAAGCCUGAUGCAGCCAUGCCGCGUGUAUGAAGAAGGCCUUCGGGUUGUAAAGUACUUUUAGCGGGGAGGCGUUACCCGCAGAAUAAGCACCGGCUAACUCCGUGCCAGCAGCCGCGGUAAUUC
rnacentral:rRNA from 1 species